rnacentral:rRNA from 1 species
UGGGGAAUUUUGGACAAUGGGCGAAAGCCUGAUCCAGCAAUGCCGCGUGUGUGAAGAAGGCCUUCGGGUUGUAAAGCACUUUUGUCCGGAAAGAAAUCCUUGGCUCUAAUACAGUCGGGGGAUGACGGUACCGGAAGAAUAAGCACCGGCUAACUACGUGCCAGCAGCCGCGUAAUACGUAGGGUGCAAGCGUUAAUCGGAAUUACUGGGCGUAAAGCGUGCGCAGGCGGUUUGCUAAGACCGAUGUGAAAUCCCCGGGCUCAACCUGGGAACUGCAUUGGUGACUGGCAGGCUAGAGUAUGGCAGAGGGGGGUAGAAUUCCACGUGUAGCAGUGAAAUGCGUAGAGAUGUGGAGGAAUACCGAUGGCGAAGGCAGCCCCCUGGGCCAAUACUGACGCUCAUGCACGAAAGCGUGGGGAGCAAAACAGGAUUAGAUACCCCUGGUAGUCCGCGCCCCUAAAACGAUGUCAACUAGUUGUUGGGGAUUCAUUUCCUUAGUAACGUAGCUAACGCGUGAAGUUGACCGCCUGGGGAGUACGGUCGCAAGAUUAAAACUCAAAUGAAUUGACGGGGUCAUAGCUGUUUCCU